CUGGGAAAAAAAUCUACGACCUGGGAAAGGAAAGAGCCAGUUGAGGAAAAGCCCUUUGUCCCUUCUUUGUUUAUAUCUCCAACUUCCCGAUUUUUCCUGUGGCUGUGAUGGCCAGGAUGUGGCAGCCCUCUGGUUAUAACAGUGUCACAAAUCCUUCAUUGAGGCUGCCUUGCAACCCAAGCUCUGCCUCUCUCCAAUCCUCUCUUUCCCUCCCUUCAUAGGUGCAGAUGCUGAGAGCACUUUCUAGUCAAGUCCUGCAUGUUCAUUUCUGUCUCAAGUCAGCUUCUCUGAGAAUCCAAUUUAUAAAAAUAUAUUUGUGAAUGUAUAAGUAAAGUGACUUGGAUUUUGUCUACGUACAAGGACUUCUAUGCCUGCAUAAAACAGGAAAGAGAUCUUCAUGUAAACAGAGUCCCUCUUAUUGGCUGAAGUGAAGAGUCAUUCUGAGGCAUCUCAAGAUGAAGGUUUCCUAUUUGUGAUUAUGAAAAAAAUGUCAAGAACAAGUCCCUUGGUGUUCUUAGACCAAAGUCAGAACAACAGACCUAUUGUAGCCUGCACAGUCGUUUUUAUGGUCCCACACUACUCUGCAAAGUGAGGACAGUGAUAUAAUUUUCUCAUUGAAGAACACUUGGAAAAUAGAGCAAGAGAAAAAAAUUACAUAUAACCCCAUCCCAAAAGCACUU
rnacentral:lncRNA from 1 species